GCAUUGGUGGUUCAGUAGUAGAAUGCCUGCCUUCUAUGUGGGAGGCUGGAGUUCAAUUCCUGGCCAACGCA
rnacentral:tRNA from 1 species